rnacentral:rRNA from 1 species
UACAGAGGGGGCGAGCGUUGUUCGGAAUUACUGGGCGUAAAGGGCGCGUAGGCGGCCAACUAAGUCAGACGUGAAAUCCCUCGGCUCAACCGGGGAACUGCGUCUGAUACUGGAUGGCUUGAAUUCGGGAGAGGGAUGCGGAAUUCCAGGUGUAGCGGUGAAAUGCGUAGAUAUCUGGAGGAACACCGGUGGCGAAGGCGGCAUCCUGGACCGGCAUUGACGCUGAGGAGCGAAAGCCAGGGGA